GACGAACGCUGGCGGCGUGCUUAACACAUGCAAGUCGAACGGUGAAGCGCCUUCCUUUUUGGUGGGUGUGGAUGAGUGGCGAACGGGCGAGUAACACGUGAGUAACCUGCCCCCUUCUUCUGGAUAACCGCAUGAAAGUGUGGCUAAUACGGGAUAUUCUGGGUCUGUCGCAUGAUGGGUCUGGGAAAGAUAUUGUUUCGGUGGGGGAUGGGCUCGCGGCCUAUCAGCUUGUUGGCGGGGUGAUGGCCUACCAAGGCGGUGACGGGUAGCCGGCCUGAGAGGGUGGACGGUCACACUGGGACUGAGACACGGCCCAGACUCCUACGGGAGGCAGCAGUGGGGAAUAUUGCACAAUGGGCGCAAGCCUGAUGCAGCGACGCCGCGUGAGGGAUGGAGGCCUUCGGGUUGUGAACCUCUUUCGCCAGUGAAGCAGGCCUGCCUCGUUUGUGGGUGGGUUGACGGUAGCUGGAUAAGAAGCGCCGGCUAACUACGUG
rnacentral:rRNA from 1 species